AGAUCAUAUGGCAGUUUCACC
rnacentral:miRNA from 2 species